rnacentral:rRNA from 1 species
GACGAACGCUGGCGGCGCGCCUAACACAUGCAAGUCGAACGGAGUUUCCCCUUCGGGGGGAGCUUAGUGGCGGACGGGUGAGUAACACGUGAGGAACCUGCCUUUGAGAGCGGGAUACCGUCUGGAAACGGACGUUAAUACCGCAUAAUGCAGCGAGGCCACAUGGCCAUGCUGCCAAAGAUUUAUCGCUCAAAGAUGGCCUCGCGCCUGAUUAGAUAGUUGGCGGGGUAACGGCCCACCAAGUCUGCGAUCAGUAGCCGGACUGAGAGGUCGAACGGCCACAUUGGGACUGAGAUACGGCCCAGACUCCUACGGGAGGCAGCAGUGAGGAAUAUUGGUCAAUGGGCGCUAGCCUGAACCAGCCAAGUCGCGUGAAGGAUGACGGCCCUACGGGUUGUAAACUGCUUUUCCCCGGGGCGAAUAACCCCCUCGCGAGGGGAGUGCCGGUACCGGGGAACGUAAGGAUCGGCGUAACUCCGUGCCAGCAGCCGCGGUAACUGUAGUCGU